GGGCGCGGUAAGGCCGGCGUGGCCGCUCCGCAAGGACGGGCUGGCGUGGGGUGGGGGGGAAGGGAGGAGGGGGGUUGCGGGACUUGCGCUGCCUUCCCUUCAAAUCUUGCCCUCUCGGAGCCUGGCAGUGCUCCGGGGAGUCAACACAGGGGGAUAGAACAGCUCUCCCUCACAAAAACCCAGUGCGGAGCCCUCCUCUCCGUCCUGCAUCCUGUCGUGAGGCACAAACGGCCCUUCCCUCCUUUUCCUCUCCGCGGCCUCCUCACUGUCCUGGGCUGACGCCUCUCUCCCUCCUCAGUGUAUCCCGAGGCACCGGCGAUUCCUUCCCAUGUCCCGGUCGGGCCGGAGGCCGGGCGCGGCGGGCCUGGGCCCGGCGAAGCGCUGGAGAGCUGCGGGCACGCCUCUGGACGCCCAUGGGUGAGGGGCACACCGACAUCAUUCGCUACCCCACAGCCUGGGGCUGGCUAGAAAAGGCUUCUGGCUUCAAUAGGCUUUAAAUCUCGAGACUUUUUAAAGACAUUUAUGGAGAUGCUGCCCUACGUCUCUGAGACAAAAAUGUGUUUGUACACAUUUGCACCCUUCUGUUCUUUAAAUUGCAGGUAUUGAGCUGCACAGAUCAUGAAUCUAAUUCACUGCAGUGGUUUUAUGUUUUUACAGGCUACAUCAAGAAUAUUACACUCAUACCCUGCAGUGUUGAGAGUACUGAAUGCUGUAGGCACGACUCUCGUGAUAAUAACUUAAACAAAGUAGUCCCUUACUGCUUGGGCUUUCUUUCCCGUCUUCUAUUGCAUCUGUAACAGUGUCUUUUGAUGUUGCUUAGUCGAGCUCUGUGUAUAACUUGUUACAAGCUAUGUAUGUAUAUAUAAGUAGACACAAGGUAGCAAUGAAUUCUCUGGUAAAGAUCAGUCUAAUCUGGAUAUUUGUAGUUUAAGGGUAGGGUCAGCACAAAAAGGAAUUUAGGCUUAAUAAAUUUUCCAUGUUUCUGAUAAGUAGUAUAUUUGAAAAGAUAUUAAACAUACAUUUUAUGUAUUUUAAAUAGACUAAUGAAAACAACUUUUUAGACAGAUUGAAAAACUGAUUAUCAUUUGAUUUGACAAUAAGCUUCAUGUAGACAACCUCUGCAAUUGUGUAGAAAAUUACUGUAAAAGUCUAACCCAACAUAGUAGCAACUCUGUAUCAUAUGGCUUUGAGAAGGUCUAAACACUAAUAAUUUUACCAUAAUCUUAUUAAUUUUUUUGUGUGUUGUCUAGAGGCCUCAUGCAAUAAAUAUUCUAAACAUGGAUAAUCAGACCUAAAUGUGAAGCAAAAAGCUCAGGACUUCUUAAGAAUAAAUACCUUCUACUGGAAGGUUUCUCAAAUCUGGUUCUUUGUGAACCUAUGUGAUAAAAGUCUUCAGUGAAGAGUUUCUUGUAGAUUGUUUGGUCUCCAGGGAGGAAACCAGAAUGUGCCAGGGACCUGAACUGAUAUUAAACCCCAGCUUAUGAUUUUCUGCAUGGCUGAUGUAUGACUUCAUAUGAGAUGACUCCACUUGUCACCUGUAAUGUAUCAUCUUGGAAGUGGAAUUGAGAUAAGCAAUGUCUAAAACUACAUGUCUUCAAUGAUCAUGUGUAAACAGGAACCUCACCAUUUGUUGAAACAGGUUUCUUAACAAAAACUUUUUUAAUUUAUUACUAUCUUUGUGGACCAAUUGAAAUAAAAUGUGACUUUGC